UAGCAAUACACAGGAAAUAUUUCUAGGUUUUUAUACUAGCCUCUAAUUAUUACACUAAGAUUGUAAUUAACUUAUUUUAACGUUGCACUUAAACACCAUAAUUCUGUAUAUAUAACAGUGGGGUGGGGUAACAGAAAGGCAAGAAGAAACAAAUCAUCCUCAAUUGUUAAACAAGACAAACUGGAACAGAGGAAAACAGGCCGUUUUAUUAUUUUCAUUAUUUAUGUAUUCAUUGUCUCGUUUAAAUGCCUUUUCUGCACUGAUUCAUGGAUCGUGGAACUGUAAAAUAUAAUUAUUUCUGCAUUUAAUCAACUAAGAGAUUGUUUGCAGACAGUAAUCUGAAAAUGUUGGUUGGACUUGCAACUGUUGAACUUACAUUUUUUAUUAAACAGGAAAUGGCAGGUUGAUCAAGGAACUCCUUACCAAUGGAGGGGAUAAACUACCAAGCUAAAUAAGUUAUUAAAAAUUUCACACUAUACUGUAACUUAUCUGUAUACAUGUUAACCAAAAUGGUUAGCAAGAGAAAACUUAUCUGUUAAGAUGAUAAAUCACAGGAGCUUUUUUUUUUUUUUUUUUUUAAAUUAUUGCUAAUGCCAGCUCUUUAUCCAGAAAUGGAUAGGUCGGCCUAUCAAAUCAACAGAUGAUUCCAUUGGUUAGUAGUCAUGUGUUUUUAAGCCUGCUUCCAAAGAGAAUAGCCAACUGUGGCAACAGGGUAACAAUAAAUUAAAGAAUGGAUGCAAACAUGAGAAACAUUCUGACAGAAUACUGUUGUAGAUGCAAAGAAAAAAAUAUUUUUUUUCUUCUCUUUUAACUGAUGUCUAUGUAUUUAGAUUUUACUGGACAUGCAGUACUUGCUUUGCUUGCCCUGACUGAAUGCAUCUGAUGUGUGACAUGAAAACAAACAACUAAUUUGUAAUCCGCAGCCUGGAACCUGUGAGAAAUAAUAUGAAAGAUUACUUCACAUUUUCUCUACAAACAGCCCUUUUUUCUUUUCAUAUUUGAGCAAGUUACAAGAAUUAAAAGGAAGACGUAUGCAGAAGGGCUUUUGCCCUGCUGGAAACCAUCAAACCAAAAC
ensembl:lncRNA